CCAACACAACACCCAUUCCAUUCCAUUCCGUUCUCUCCUCCUCGCCGCGCGCUCUUGCCGGCUGUGCAAACCCUAGCCGCUCGCUCUUGCCGGCGCUCCCCACCCAGCCUCGCCGGCGCCGCACCUCCUCCCUCCCGACCUCCCUCCCUCCCUCCUACAACGCCACUUGAUCCCAGCGCCACCAAUCGCGCCUUACACAGCCCUAGCUGCUCGCGUACGGCCGGAUCACCUGCCCCACAGCGACCAACGGGGCAUGGACAACAUGGCCGUCAACUUCCCGGCCGGCGCCCUCCUUCACCGGCCGCCUUCUACUGCGGCGACCCGCCACCGCACCGCCUGGGCUCCCACGUGCCCGCCCGCCCGCCGGAAGCAAGGCCUUUCCCGCCAAAAUGCUGCUGGAAUUCGAUUCCAAGCCCGGAACCAAACAAAAGCGUCUUCUGUAUGAGAAACAAAGAACUAUCAACUUGUCCUACCUACAGAUCUGCCUACUUGCUUGAACAUUGUCAAAUGCUGUAAUUUGCCGAUUUCAUGAUGCCCCCACAGUAAUCGCGGCCUAAAAAUUUGCAAGCACACUGCCUACGACUGUGACCGUUAAUGGGUCCAAAGCAAGCCGGUCUCAGUAACAGUGACAAGCGAGCACUCUUCUGCGAUGCGUCUCCCUGCUUUUCCCUAGGUGUCUACCCGUCCUGACCAAUUCCAUAAUGUUUGUGUGUGCUGAAGGAGGCCUAUCCCACUCCCACCCUUCCCCUGGACACCUCCAGUGCACAAGUUUGAGUUGCACGAAGGGAGGAUGGGGACGGCGUCAACAUGCAGUACCCCACCCCGGAGCUUGACGACGAGGUAGUUCAGUCCCAUCUCGAGCUCAAGGGAAACGUCGAUCACUAUGGGGCGCCCUGCAAAAGCAUCUGUGCUCAUUAAUAUGAAGAAACAAGCUGCUGCCAUCUGUGAUGCCACAAUGUUGACGAUCCGGAUCAACUAUGAGCUCUCCGUCAAGAGCAGUGCCACCUCACCAGUCCUGCCAGUCCAUACCACAACCAGGCUGACCCUUUCCGGCGAAGUGAUGAAGAGCGGCAAGUACACGCUUGGCUAUAAGACAGGCUUCAAGAUGUGCGUAGCUCCAAGGUGGUUUAGAAUCUGGACUCUACUGGAGGCGUGAUGAACUUUUCGUACUUGACCCUUUUCGUAAUUAGCACUGACCUCUAAUGUCUAGUCGAUAAUGGAAGGCUGAAACAUUUUCGUUUGCUGAUACUAUUUGUGUUUUUUGGUUGGUAUCGUGUAUCCCUAAAAAAAGGAGUUGUCUUGUUACUAGCUUUUCCAUUUCUCAAAUUUAUCCCAUCGUACCCACCUGGGUCUGUUUAGUUCUCGCGUCCUUUUCCACUUGUGAUAUUUUAUCCCAUUGAUACUAUAUGAUGAAGACUUAGGUUAUCUUGUCCCUGGAGCAUGCCCCUGCUACUUCUGUGUUUUCGUCUAGUUCUCCCUUGUUCUUCCUCUAGUUUGUCGUUCCGUUUGGCUAAGCUGUAUGCCGCAGCACUGUAAACCUUGUUGAACCUGAGGGCUUUAUUAAUUUAAAGUCGGGCACGUUGUUGCCUUUUUUUUAUAUUUAUAUACUAUAUGAUGAAUAUUUGUACGUAUUCUGAUGUGCUGUAUCAGUCUUUAAAUGAAAAUUUCUAGUUCUGGCAAUAGCUGCUAUUCUAUCUUGCUAUCUAAUUUACUCUUGUCUUUCUACUUACUGAAAUUAUAUGCGAUCUGUAUCUUUCAUGGAUGGUCGCCGAUUGGGACCAUCUGUCCAACGAGUUACACAGUGAUGCUCUGCUGAUGUUGCCGGAGAGGACAUCACUGUCCUGCUGCCGUGUACAACCAGGACCAUCUGUCCAAGAUUUAUCCCCGACCUCUGGUGUCUAGUGGAUAAUGGGAGCACCACCGGCAGGAAGGGGCUCUCAUGGCUGGUUGCUGAUGGGGAUCUCCAACCAUCUAUCUGAUGUGCUGCUGAUGUUGUCGGAGAGGUUGCUCGGCCAUGAAAGACCAGACUUGCUUGACACACUCUGGCAUCACCAUCAAGUAUGACGUCGAGAUGAUACAGCAAAGCAACAUGGAGCCAUUGUUCCAGAACUUAGAGAAGGGUUAAGAGUUGUCUAUGUGACUGAGCCAUAUAUGCGCAUGAAAAUUGAUGGGUGUUUACUGAAGCGUGUCUCCCUUGCGGCCUGCUGCCUCUUUCAUGCUCGUCUGUUUUGUCGAAUGGUGUCUUGUUAUUUUUGCCAAGAUCAUGUCAUGUAAUCAUUUGUAAUCUUCAAUUCUUAGCUAUUGCUUGUCUUUGGUUAAAUCUCAGGUGGAGCUGGAUCCUACAUCUAUAUAAUGUCAUAUAUGCUUGUCGUGCUGUAUGUA